GUCCCGGAUGUGAAAGCUGAGGUUCAAGAAAUGAACUCGGUCUGAAGUCGGGACAUCCGAGGCCUUUUUCUGGCGGAAGCUCCGCCGAUAGUCCUCACCCCAGCAAAACAUGUUGAUCCAUCACAAUGGGGAAGUUGCACAGAACAAGUGGCUCAUCAAGCACAUACUGAAAAGUCCGAGCUGCCCACAGUCGUUUCUGCCCCAGCCGAACACGCCUCUGGACACGGAGAGGGCGAAGCUCUGGUCUCCUCCUGCAGAGAUCUGAACCACGGGGGUGGACAACAA